rnacentral:rRNA from 1 species
AUUGAACGCUGGCGGCAUGCCUUACACAUGCAAGUCGAGCGGCAGCGGACCUUCGGGUGCCGGCGAGUGGCGAACGGGUGAGUAAAGUAUCGGAACGUACCUUUCAGUGGGGGAUAACGUAGCGAAAGUUACGCUAAUACCGCAUAUUCUCUGAGGAGGAAAGCAGGGGACCUUCGGGCCUUGCGCUGAUGGAGCGGCCGAUAUCAGAUUAGCUAGUUGGUGGGGUAAAGGCCUACCAAGGCGACGAUCUGUAGCGGGUCUGAGAGGAUGAUCCGCCACACUGGGACUGAGACACGGCCCAGACUCCUACGGGAGGCAGCAGUGGGGAAUUUUGGACAAUGGGCGAAAGCCUGAUCCAGCCAUGCCGCGUGAGUGAAGAAGGCCUUCGGGUUGUAAAGCUCUUUCGGCCGGGAAGAAAUCGUGUGGGCUAAUACCCUGCAUGGAUGACGGUACCGGAAUAAGAAGCACCGGCUAACUACGUGCCAGCCGCCGCCGUAAUAC